rnacentral:tRNA from 1 species
GGAGGCGUGGCUUGGUAGGAAAGCACAUGUCUGGCAUACAUGAGGGCCUAGGUUCAAUCCCCAUCACCA